rnacentral:rRNA from 1 species
AGCCGGCUUACGUUGUGGACUAGUUGUGGGGUCCAUUCCACGGAUUCCGUGACGCAGCUAACGCAUUAAGUUCCCCGCCUGGGGAGUACGGCCGCAAGGCUAAAACUCAAAGGAAUUGACGGGGACCCGCACAAGCGGCGGAGCAUGCGGAUUAAUUCGAUGCAACGCGAAAAACCUUACCAAGGCUUGACAUAUACGAGAACGGGCCAAAAAUGGUCAACUCUUUGGACACUCGUAAACAGGUGGUGCAUGGUUGUCGUCAGCUCGUGUCGUGAGAUGUUGGGUUAAGUCCCGCAACGAGCGCAACCCUCGUUCUAUGUUGCCAGCACGUAAUGGUGGGAACUCAUGGGAUACUGCCGGGGUCAACUCGGAGGAAGGUGGGGAUGACGUCAAAUCAUCAUGCCCCUUAUGUCUUGGGCUUCACGCAUGCUACAAUGGCCGGUACAAAGGGCUGCAAUACCGCGAGGUGGAGCGAAUCCCAAAAAGCCGGUCCCAGUUCGGAUUGAGGUCUGCAACUCGACCUCAUGAAGUCGGAGUCGCUAGUAAUCGCAAAUCAGCAACGCUGCGGUGAAUACGUUCCCGGGUCUUGUACACACCGCCCGUCAAGUCAUGAAAGUCGGUAACACCUGAAGCCGGUGGCCUAACCCUUGUGGAGGGAGCCGUCGAAGGUGGGAUCGGUAAUUAGGACUAAGUCUACGAGGGUAAAC